AUGUGUAUAGAUGGUGAUGGAUAUGGGGACACACAAGAACUAGCGAACUUAAUACCAGAUGCCCUCAACUAUGAAUUCUUUAAUUAUUGGAGGCUUUCAUAUUCAUAUCAAUACAAGGCUUUAGAAUCACUAAGGUUGCUCUUGCUCUGUUCUUUUGGUCAAGGUUUGUCCUUGUCAUUCUUUUCUAAGGACUGCACUUUUCUACCCUAUUUGUUUACUGCUUAUUGUCGUGUUAAUUCCUCUGUUCCUGAUUUUUCCAGGUGUCGUGUUUGUGUGUUUGUUUUUGUGGUGCUGCUUAUAUGUGUGACUACCGUGUGA
rnacentral:rRNA from 1 species